GCAGGUACCUACUCAAAAAUCAACUUUCCUUAUAAGGACGCUGUGUAAAUUUACAUAUCCGUUAACUAAAGUUAGUCAUAGUCUUUUGUACUUGUCCUUAAUACUAUCUCUAAGUCCUAUCUAACUAGGUACUUAGUUUAGUUUUUGACGAGAUGUACGACGCAAGUAAACCUAGUUUGUAUACCUAAAUAACUUAACUAAAGAAAAUACAUAUCUAAUAUCACAAUGUACUUCAAUGUUCUACAUACAAACAAAUAGAAGUACCUACAUAACAUCCAUUACUUAAAAUAAUAUGAAAUCUCUAUAUAAUCUACUUAACGCUAAAAAGUUUUAGAUAUUUUUUUGCAUUUUGAAGAUUAGCAAUAUAGGUAUUAUCCAUGUAAUAAAGGCACACUCAUUGUGGUAAAUGUAGCAGAUACUUGGAUGUGUACGCUGAAAGGGCAAACUCUCAAUUUUAAUUUCUACAUUUACCAUUCUUAUAUGAAAAACAUACAAUGUAUUUACAAACACAAACUUUGCAAUUUGAUUUCAAUCAGUAUAUUUUACAGAUUUCGUUAGCUUCAUUACCAACAGCCCGUUACUGGUAUUAAUAUCGGAUCAAGGCGAGUUAUUUCAGUUGUUAAAGUGACGUCAUUCAAAUAAUCGACAGCGACCAAGACCAAAAGUAAGGUCACUACGCAACCCACAGACUCGAAAAUCGAGGCAAACAAAUCACAGUGUACUUAAUUCUGUAAUGCGUGUGCCAGACAGAAGACACAUUUGUUUAUACGAAAGGAAGAUAUUUCGAACCUUAUGAUAUGAAGUUGUUGGAGUAUAGGGAGGCCGAGACGAGGUCGUCGACAUGCGCGGGCGUCGACAUCGCGUCAUCAUUGCGAAUCACUUCUCUGGGAAAAUGCAAAUGCGAGUAUCUAUAAAUUACAAAUAAAUUGUAGUUAUCAUUCGAUCAACCGACUCAUCUUGCGGGAAACUGUGCGAGAGUAGAGUAAGUAACCAGGUAGUUAUAUUUUCUGCGAAUAAGUAACUAGGCAUUUCCUCUACUAGUUCCUUCGAAUAAAUUUUAUUAUUUUUCAUCGAAAACAAAGCAACAUAUCGGAUUGGUACGACCUAAGCUACGACGAUAAAUCUUUUGAUAUUUUACCACGUUUUAGUAUGAAACAAGAUCAGAUUUAAUAACAAGCAACACAGAAUAGUUUUGUCUUUCUAUUCUGAAUGUUACAUAUCGAUUUCAAUAAAACAAAUAGGUAGCUAUCUACCUAUUUGUUUUUAAGUAACUAAGUCUAUGUGGCUUCUAACGGAAAGAUAUUCGUAUUGAAUGGACCUAUUCAAGAACAAAAUUACUUAGUAGAGUAAUAAUUAGAUGCGCUGUACGAUUUCACAACCUUUUGAAAACAAAGAUCAUACCAAGUUCAUUACACUUUAUCUAAAUUAUGACAUGACGUGUCCGAAGUCAGAAUACCCACUCCAAAAGUGAAGCAUUCUGCACCCUCUUCAAGUACCUACAUAUAGAUAAAAAUAAAAUUGUUUUAAAAUCAUUAUAGUUUAUACAGUCAUUCCCUACUUAUUAAGUACUUUAAGAAUUUAUCAGCUUUAAUAAAAGUGUGACUGUACCUUUCAAAAAAUAUUGUAUAAUGCAUCAUGGGCAGCAUCAGAGCCAGCCUCGCAGAGCGGCCUUUACACAGGAUUUCCGGUGACUUCAGUGUGCACACGCACCGACAACCUUCUUUUUUACACCACGCUGACAGCUACCUACCCAACUCGUAGAUAAUUGGAAGAUUACCUUCAUGACAUUGGCUCCUAUUGUUGUUGCAUUUAACAUUUGAAGUUUUCGUUUUUUUAAUCGACGGAAGUGAUGUGACUGAGUUCAUUCUACUGCCUCUAAAUUUCUAACGCAAGUAAGUACAUUGCCACGCAAUAAGUUCCUACUUAAAAAACUGUACAUACAGCAAAUUUAUCGCUUUUAGGAUCUUUGUCAUUUGCUUUGUAUUUUAAUGUACCUAUAUUUAUUUGUAUUCAAUUUACCUUGUAAUAGCGGGAAGGCGAUACAAUGUUAUUUGUUUAUGCUACGUGCUUUUAUGCGUUUAAAUUUAUUCUAACUAGACGUUUGUUGUAUAAUAAAAAUUAACUUAAGAGUUCUAUCGUUUGUCUCAAUAAUAACGUAACACGUGCAGUAAAGUAACGCGCUCAACAAUAACAAACGGUAUGGUUUGUUAUUGUUGACUAUUAUUUCUGUGCGUACGAUAUGGUCAAGGGAGUCUUAGGUAACGUUAUACCUAACCGUUUCAUAAUGACCUUGAUAAUGAAUUUAACGACCUCGGUGGCGCAGUGGUAAAGUGCUUGCCUCUGAACUGAGAGGUCCUGGGUUCGAUCACCGGUGGGGUCAUGAUGGAAAAUGAUCUUUUUCUGAUUGGCCCGGGUCUUGGAUGUUUACCUAUAUAUGAAUUUGUUAUAAAAUUUAGUAUCGUUGAGUUAGUAUCCCAUAACAGUCUAGAACUUACUUUGGGGCUAGCACAAUCUGUGUGAAUUGUCCUAAUAUUAUAUAUUUAUUUAUUUAUCUAAUCAUUCUUCCGUUUCUGCGCACGCUUGAGAAAAUUGACAGAAAGUCGACCGGAUCGUGAUGAGCGUUUAGCUUCAGAGCGUUCCAAGAUGGCAUCGUCUAGAUCCCACUCUUUGAGAGUCUUUUGAAAGAGAAUCAUGUUUGGAUACUGCCUCUCGAUCUAUAUCAAUAAAAUAUAUCGACUUUUCUCAACUUUGCUCAAUAAACAUACUUAUAUGCACGCAAUGUCAUGCUUCGAAAUGGCAUGGAGAGCCCAAAGGUAUCUGUUGUUCAACAGGCAAAGUUGGACUGCCUCUGGAAUAGUUGUUAUAUGGAGAAGAUCCGCAAUCAAAAUUAGGCCUACAAUAGCGCGUUCCAAACAACGUUUUUUGGAGCCAAUUAAUUUAAUUUCAGAAGGAGCGUUCGUCCUUCAAGAGCGUUCACCUUUAAAAUUCAUAGCCAAGUUUAUCAUCUACAUAGUUUAUUGGUGCUGAAUGACGUUUCAAAAUUUCUGCAAAUAUCAAGACAAGGCAGAUUUAAGGCUACUGAGGCCUCAAAAAACUAUUCCCGUGGCGAUUUGCAAAAAACCUGUCUUUUAUAGGUGGCGCUAAAUGCGCUGAGUUAAUUCCAAAUCGAUAAAGAUUAAAUUUGGCAGGAAGGUAUAUUAUGGAUAGGAGACGUCCGCUGAGAAAGGAAUUUUGGAAAUUCUUUCCCUAAGAGCGUGAAAUAAGGGUUGCAAGAUUGUAUGAAAUUUCUUCAAUUUAGAAGUAUGCCAUGAAAUUUUAGAUUUACAUUUUCAAACUAUCCAAAUCCAUUGCCGUGGGAUUUGCGAUAAAAGACUGCCAAUAAAUAAUUUGAAUUUUAAUACUAUAAAAAUCAGUGUAUGUAGGAUUUUUACAGUUCCCGUUAUAUUUAUUGGCUCCGAACCCGCCACAUAACCGCGAAAAUACGUUUGUUUGUCACUUUAUUUACUUAACAAAUCUUGAAAUUUUUGAAACUUGAAGAAUGGCAACCAAAAAGUAUUAUUCCUGUGGGAUUUGCUAGGAAUGACUCUACAAUAUUGCAUUGCUUUAUUUAUUCAUUCAUACAGUCAUGGAUACAGAACAAAGCACUUCUUCCUUUCUUUCCUAGCUUCCAGCCCAAUAAUUACCAUUAAUUUUCCAUGAAGGUUGCAGAAGUAUUCAUCAGAAACAGUCAUACAUUUCCCAUGGCCUGUAGCAUCUUUACGCGUGUCCAGUGCUCAGAAUUUGUUUACAUUCCAAUUGGGAGAACAAGCAAUAUUCUAUACAACAAAGUUCUAAAAUAAAUUUCAGAUUUUUUCAAUCCUAUUCCAGUUUUUCGAUCUCAACUAAUUUGGGUGUUAUAGAGCUGCAUACAGAUCAAUCAAUCAAUCGUUUAAAAACAGUAUUAAUGAAAUCGGUGAUAUCAUUUUUGUUUACGUCAUGAGAAUCCGAUAAAAUGUAGUUUUACAUAUAAACGUCAUUCGAAGAUUUUCCCCGUAAUGACUCACACCAAAAUAAGAAAAUAAACCGUUAGGCCAAGACGAUUGCAUCUACGCUUCGGAGAAGAUCUUUGUUACAAUUACGUGAGGGCUGGUUUUCCAAAUUAUUUCAAGAGUUUUUUUUUUGUGAAAUAUGUAGUUACAUAAUCUACGACGACAGAAAACAUCAUUAUAUAGAAUUUCUGAUAAAGCAACUUGAACAUAAAAUAAACACGGUAUAAUUUUCGAAUUUAGUCAUUAAAUCUACGUCGUAGAAUUAUUCAAUUUGUACCUAGAAAUGCACGAAAUGCACUUUCAUAGGAAGCAGCAUCAUUGAUUAGGCACGCCACAAGACAAUAGCAUUCGCGUAGGUUCUCAUCUCCAAGGUCCAUCAGCAGCUUCCCGCGUGCAACUUUCACCGUUCGAUAAUCCUCAUUGUCUGCGGAUUGGUUUCCUUCCUACGCGUUUCCUAUUCCUAUGUCGCAAUCUAUUCCAUUAACGAGUAAUAUAUCUAUAUCAUAUCUGAUAUUGGGACUUGACUUCCAUAUAUAUUUUUGCAUCUUGAUUUCGCAUAAAAUAAAACUUGCCUAAUUUAUUUCACCGAUUGCGUGAGACUAGCAAUUUUUUAGCCAAAGUUCGAAUGGAAUCAAUUGCCAUACAAGA